UAUAAAAUACAAAACAUGGUGAAGCAUAAGGCUUUUACCAGAUCAAGAUCAAUCCUACAAUCAUUCCAUCACUAUCUUGUCACGAACAAUCACGCCCUUUUCCAUCAAAUAGAUCUAAAUACUACAACAGCCACAUCUAAACCAAUGACAUAGCUUAUCCUUCAGAAUCCAUCAGUCUCAUAGCAUCAAAUACACUUAUACAAGUAGAAGCAACCAACACAGAACAUUCCACAAAGUAGAC